UACGUAGGGUGCGAGCGUUGUCCGGAAUUAUUGGGCGUAAAGAGCUCGUAGGCGGUCUGUCGCGUCGGUCGUGAAAACUUGGGGCUUAACCCUGAGCUUGCGGUCGAUACGGGCAUGACUGGAGUUCGGCAGGGGAGACUGGAAUUCCUGGUGUAGCGGUGAAAUGCGCAGAUAUCAGGAGGGACACCGGUGGCGAAGGCGGGUCUCUGGGCCGAUACUGACGCUGAGGAGCGAAAGCGUGGGGAGCGAACAGG
rnacentral:rRNA from 1 species